AACUAAUUUACAAGAAAAAGUUAAAGCGAACGUUCGAUUUGUUUUCAAUAUAGAUAAUUUUAUAACGGGUUCUCUCGAGCGUUGCCGAGGCGGCAUGCCAUCGGUCAUGUCAUUCGGCGUUAGACUGCGAGGUAGUUGUUAAUACGUAAUAAACUUUGAACUACGAGAAUAUUGAUUUGCCCAUUUCUUUUGUAAAACGCGUUAAUAAGAUUAAUCUGGAUCCUGAUUCAAUAUUAAUAUAAUCAGCAUAAUAAUCAAUUGGAAAUACACUGGAGAAAUCCCCGUCUUAGGGGACCCUGCUCCGCAUCGCGAAGACCCUACUCCGCAUUGUCUCCACUCUCCACCCGCUUGCCACGCGAAGACCCUGCUCCGCAUCGCGAAGACCCUACUCCGCAUUGUCUCCACUCUCCACCCGCUUGCCACGCGAAGACCCUGCUCCGCAUCGCGAAGACCCUACUCCGCAUUGUCUCCACUCUCCACCCGCUUGCCACGCGAAGACCCUGCUCCGCAUUGUCUCCACCCGCUUGUCACGCGAAGACCCUCGCCUUGUUCCACGGUUGCCAGGGGAGUAGUCCAUCAAUCCCUUGAGUGGCAGUAUCAUUUUAUUUAAGGCCAUUAUACCACGUCCCUUACAAAUUUGUGUCUCAUUGCGACACUGGCGCCCUACGUGGUUUAAAUUGAUUCUGUCACUUUUGGAGGUGGUAGCGGAUUGUUCGUGUCUUGUUUGUGUCUCGUUUUGUCUAUUGUGAUCAACUGUGUUGAAAUCUGGGCAAGUUGUGGGUUUUUAUUCUAAAAAUUGUGUCAUUAUGUAUGUUUUGUCUUAUUAUCUAUGUGAACUACUGUAUGUUUCUGUUUUCUUGUGAACUGAUAUAAUGUUAGAUAUAAAAUAUUACUCAGCAUAAAAGAGAACUAUUUUGUA